rnacentral:tRNA from 1 species
GGGGUUGUAGCUCAGUCGGUUAGAGCCGCGGACUCAUAAUCCGCUGGUCCCGGGUUCGAGCCCCGGCGACCCCACCA